rnacentral:misc_RNA from 1 species
GAAAUGCGAUAAUUAAUGUGAAUUGCAGAAUUCAGUGAAUCAUCGAGUCUUUGAACGCACAUUGCGCCCCCUGGUAUUCCGGGGGGCAUGCCUGUCCGAGCGUCAUUGCUGCCCUCAAGCACGGCUUGUGUGUUGGGCUUCCGUUCCUGGCAACGGGGACGGGCCCAAAAGGCAGUGGCGGCACCAUGUCUGGUCCUCGAGCGUAUGGGGCUUUGUCACCCGCUCCCGUAGGUCCAGCUGGCAGCUAGCCUCGCAACCAAUCUUUUUAACCAGGUUGACCUCGGAUCAGGUAGGGAUACCCGCUGAACUUAAGC